rnacentral:lncRNA from 1 species
GAACCCAAACUGUCUUAUCACACCUGCCCUACAGCCUGAUGAGUGUAGCUGAGCCCAGAGGUCUGCCGUGCAUUCCUGCAGUGCUCAGUAAAUGUCACGGUGGGGGACAGCCAAAUGAUACUUGUGCGCAGCCAGCCACGGGGCUGGGGACACUAGCUGCAAGCCAACUGUGCAGUAGAAAUCUGCUCCAAGUUUGGUGCGGAAUUGUUGUCUGCCACCAUGACGUGAGAGAGAUGGGCUGCACUCUUCAACAUGAGCUUCUCAUUGCAGAGUAAAAGACAAGUCUACGCCAAGAGUGCCCUCUGCACCGGGAAGUUGAAAGAGAAGAGGUUUAGCUGCUUGAAGAGGGGCUGGCUUGGAGUUUUUGCAGUGAUGGUGGAUCAGUCAGCCCAGCUGGAAAACCAAAGCUGUACGAGGCUCUGUUCUUCACACCCUAAUAUUGGAAACUGCUGUCCUGUAAGGAUCCUGGAGAAGUCCUUGCCCUCACUUGGAUCCUCACACACCAGGAAAUGCUUCUAG